rnacentral:lncRNA from 1 species
AUGGGACCCCAAGAACAGCUCUCCCAGAUCCAGGCCACUGCCCCUCUCACAGGCAUGUCCCCUUAUCAAAUCCCUGCCCAAGUCAACCACCUUCUGGUUGGAGGUCAGGCUGAGCCUGCAAGAGAGGGAAAUUACAAACAAACAAGAAACCCACAGUGCCGGAGGAAUGUGCCUGUGCUAAAGGGUAUCCUGCUGAAGGAAAUGGUAAAUAUCACCAUUUUUUCUCCUAUGGAGUUCCAAAUUCAGGGCACCAGAGUCAGGGUGGAGCCACAAGAGAACAAGACCUGGCUUCCUCACUCAGGCUCCACCCUCUCUUCCUCAGGCCGGUGAGAUGAGUGUCAGUUACUCAUGCUGUCAUUGUCUGAAGCAUCUAAGGGACAGACUUUGGCCUCAGUCAGGAACACACAGGCCCAAGGAUGCCCAGAGGAUCCCACAUCAAGGAAAGAAGCAGCAGUGUCCUUCUCACCAUCAAGAUCCAACUGCUCGGGACUGGUGAGAUGGCUCAGAGGUUAAGAGCACCGACUGCUCUUCCAGAGGUCCUGAGUUCAAUUCCCAGCAACCACAUGGUGGCUCACAAGCAUUCGUUAUGAGACCUGGUGCCCUCUUCUGGUGUGCAGAUAUACAUGGAAGCAGAAUGUUGUAUACAUAAUAAAUAAAUAAAAUCUUUAAACA